CCUACGGGGGGCAGCAGUGGGGAAUAUUGGACAAUGGGCGAAAGCCUGAUCCAGCCAUGCCGCGUGUGUGAAGAAGGCCUUCGGGUUGUAAAGCACUUUCAGUGGGGAAGAAAGCCUUGGGGCUAAUACCCUCGAGGAAGGACAUCACCCACAGAAGAAGCACCGGCUAACUCCGUGCCAGCAGCCGCGGUAAUACGUAGGGUGCGAGCGUUAAUCGGAAUUACUGGGCGUAAAGCGCGCGUAGGCGGUCUGAUAAGCCGGUUGUGAAAGCCCCGGGCUCAACCUGGGAACGGCAUCCGGAACUGUCAGGCUAGAGGGCAGGAGAGGAAGGUAGAAUUCCCGGUGUAGCGGUGAAAUGCGUAGAGAUCGGGCGGAAUACCAGUGGCGAAGGCGGCCUUCUGGACUGACACUGACGCUGAGGUGCGAAAGCGUGGGUAGCAAACAGGAUUAGAUACCCGGGUAGUC
rnacentral:rRNA from 1 species